AUUGAACGCUGGCGGCAUGCCUUACACAUGCAAGUCGAACGGCAGCACGGGAGCUUGCUCCUGGUGGCGAGUGGCGAACGGGUGAGUAAUACAUCGGAGCGUGCCCAGUCGUGGGGGAUAACGUAGCGAAAGCUACGCUAAUACCGCAUACGAUCUAAGGAUGAAAGCGGGGGAUCGCAAGACCUCGCGCGAUUGGAGCGGCCGAUGGCAGAUUAGGUAGUUGGUGGGGUAAAGGCUCACCAAGCCGACGAUCUGUAGCUGGUCUGAGAGGACGACCAGCCACACUGGGACUGAGACACGGCCCAGACUCCUACGGGAGGCAGCAGUGGGGAAUUUUGGACAAUGGGCGCAAGCCUGAUCCAGCCAUUCCGCGUGCAGGAUGAAGGCCCUCGGGUUGUAAACUGCUUUUGUACGGAACGAAAAGGCUCUGGUUAAUACCUGGGGCUCAUGACGGUACCGUAAGAAUAAGCACCGGCUAACUACGUGCCAGCCGCCGCCGUAA
rnacentral:rRNA from 1 species